rnacentral:rRNA from 1 species
UACGGGGGGGAGCAAGCGUUGUUCGGAUUUACUGGGCGUAAAGGGCGCGUAGGCGGCGUGACAAGUCACUUGUGAAAUCUCCGAGCUCAACUCGGAAACUGCAUUGGAAACUACCUGGCUCGAGGGUUGGAGGGGGGACUGGAAUGCUUGGUGUAGCAGUGAAAUGCGUAGAUAUCAAGCGGAACACCAGUGGCGAAGGCGAGUCCCUGGACAACACCUGACACUGAGGCACGAAAGCCGGGGGAGCAAACAGG